CUGGCUUUCAGGGAGCGAAUGCUCCCCCUAGUCGGUAGUUCCUUUCUCCCAAACGCCAUUCUCCUAACUUGUCUAGAAGCUGAGCAGGUAGCAGUACAGCUUUCCCCAGCACUCUAGGGAUCACGUAGCCAGCCCAGAGUUCCACACAUUCGACGACCAUGUACCGCUACCUGCGUUCAGGAGACAAAAAAUGGCCACCAUUCCCUAGAGCACGUGUGUUUGGGUAUACAAAUAGUGACCACCCAGGGAAAGAUCUUCAGCUAAUUGCUCAUUCGUGGUUAACAGCCAGAGGAGGUUGGUGAUCGGGGGGAGGGGUAUGAACCAAACAGGGGGGUAUGAACAGCCGAACAAAGGGGAAUAAAUCUUGUAGAGCGACCACAUUUCGCUACAUAUAUAACAUUUAAAGAGUGGUUCUGUGGUAGCAAUGGUGUGUGCUGAGGGCCACACAAACCAUUGUUAUGCCAUUUGGGGCUGCCCACAAUAAUAUAACUAGGCAAACACCCUAUGAUUGCUCCAUAUGGCUUGUUCCAUAAUAAAUGCAUUUAAUAUUUGUAAG